ensembl:rRNA 5S_rRNA 5S ribosomal RNA
AUCAACGGCUGUACCAUCCUGAAAGCAUCCCAUCUCAUCUGACCUUGGAAGUUAAGCAGGGUUGGGCCUGGUUAGUCUUUGGAUGGAAGAAGUGACACCAGAUCCUUACUUUGUAAUCCAUGCCUUCGCCGCAGUUG